CUUAGCUUUAAUGUUUACUCACCAUCGUAGAAGCAAACAAUAUUUUCUGUUCUCUUCAAAUGUCAUCAGAAUCCCUGUCCCCAUUCCCGCGUUAGGAAUUUAGACACAAAUUAGAACUGGCUUUGGUGGCUGUCACCAUAGGAAAAGUGAGGACAUUGAUGGUGGAGGAGAACCUGGCAGCCGUGAAUGGUAAAAUGAACGCAGCUGUACAAAUAAGUCAGUAACAGAUGUCUGUUGAGAACUGCCUUAUGAACGAGAGAGAACCUAGAAUCAAAAAUUCUCUUUGGAUAAAUUCAUCAUUUACCUUAAGAGGAAAAUAUAGGAAAAAAAUUAUCAAGUUGUAUUUCACUGGAAGAUAGAAGCCAGAUGAUAUGAUAGGUGGUGACCAAAAGGUGACUCAAAACGCUUGCAGCACAUUAAUUGAGAGAAUAAACAACUGAAGAUCCUGCCAAAACUUUAGCAACUUUGCCAUGGAUUCUCCCCCUUAAAAAAUGUAAGAGAGAAAAAGACCAGAAAACCAACAGGAUGAGAUAAGGCAAAGGAGUCUGAUGUCAGCCUUGUUUAUUCUGCUAGAAGACAGUUUCCCUCAUCCUGGUUGCAAGACGAUUGCCUGGAGCUGCAUAUUUCCACGUCAUAUUUCCAAGUAUUCCAAGCAAAGUUCCCAAGAUUCCCUCUGGACCAGCCUAGGUCAUGUGUCCACCCUAACCAGUUUGGCAAAGGAAAUGUAAUGCCCAGAUUGGCUUAAGCCAACAUCGUGUACUUCAUCUUAUACUGAAGGUAGAGCUCCUCUCAGAUCAUGUGGCCUGAAAAUGGAAAUCAGACCGUGGUUAGAAGAUGGGUGAAUGGAUGCUGGAAAGGCAAGUAAUAAAUGUGCUUUCUGCAUACUAGAUGUAAUUGUAGUCAAA
rnacentral:lncRNA from 1 species